rnacentral:rRNA from 1 species
AGAGUUUGAUCCUGGCUCAGGAUCAACGCUGGCGGCGUGCCUAACACAUGCAAGUCGAGCGAGAAAAGGGGGGCAACUCCCUGAGUAAAGCGGCGCACGGGUGAGUAACACGUGGGUAAUCUGCCCUGGAGUGGGGAAUAACACCGGGAAACCGGUGCUAAUACCGCAUACGAUCACAAGGUCUGCGGAUUUUGUGAUGAAAGGAGCAAUUCGCUCUAGGAGGAGCCCGCGGCUGAUUAGCUAGUUGGUGAGGUAAUGGCUCACCAAGGCUACGAUCAGUAUCCGGUCUGAGAGGACGGUCGGACACACUGGAACUGAGACACGGUCCAGACUCCUACGGGAGGCAGCAGUGGGGAAUUUUUGGCAAUGGGGGCAACCCUGACCAAGCAACGCCGCGUGGGUGAUGAAGUCUCUUGGGACGUAAAACCCUUUCGACGGGGAAGAAACCGCAAGGUUGACGGUACCCGUAGAAGAAGCCCCGGCUAACUCCGUGCCAGCAGCCGCGGUAAUACGGGGGGGGCAAGCGUUGUUCGGAAUUACUGGGCGUAAAGGGUGCGUAGGCGGUCUGUUAAGUUGGAUGUGAAAACUCUGGGCUCAACCCAGAGCCUGCAUCCAAAACUGGCAGGCUAGAGUUCUGGAGGGGGUAGCGGAAUUCCUGGUGUAGCGGUGAAAUGCGUAGAUAUCAGGAGGAACACCGGUGGCGAAGGCGGCUACCUGGACAGAAACUGACGCUGAGGCACGAAAGCUAGGGGAGCAAACAGGAUUAGAUACCCCGGUAGUCC